GUGUCAGCCGCCGCGGUAAUACAGAGGGUGCAAGCGUUAAUCGGAAUUACUGGGCGUAAAGCGAGCGUAGGUGGCUUGAUAAGUCAGAUGUGAAAUCCCCGGGCUUAACCUGGGAACUGCAUCUGAUACUGUUAAGCUAGAGUAGGUGAGAGGGAAGUAGAAUUUCAGGUGUAGCGGUGAAAUGCGUAGAGAUCUGAAGGAAUACCGAUGGCGAAGGCAGCUUCCUGGCAUCAUACUGACACUGAGGCUCGAAAGCGUGGGUAGCAAACAGGAUUAGAUACCCUGGUAGUCCACGCCGUAAACGAUGUCUACUAGUCGUUGGGUCCCUUGAGGACUUAGUGACGCAGCUAACGCAAUAAGUAGACCGCCUGGGGAGUACGGCCGCAAGGUUAAAACUCAAAGAAAUUGACGG
rnacentral:rRNA from 1 species